CCAGCGAGGGCCAAUAGUUCGAGAGAAGCCGAGUAGUGAGUAUUAAGUGUUAGUUUCGCGACUGCUGUUUCACUGGUCGUAGUGUACCGUGCUUGCAUUGUUUACAAUUCGCCUUCGUUUGUUUUAUAUAUAAAAGUGCAUCAAAGUUUCAUCACCUGGGAUAAUUCUUGUUGCUGAUAUGCAGGACAAUAAGAUGUCACGUGAGUCAUAUGGACUAACAACCAGUUAAGACUCAUGGCUCUACCCGAAGUUAAUCGCUGGGAUUCCCCAUCAUCCGGAUACUAACGCGGAUUUCGGGUUGCUACCUCAUGAAAAUAACUGUUCAAAGGAUUUAUACUUCACGAAAUAGGCGUGUUCGAGCAAAGGAGGAGCCAAACAUUUGUUUCACAUACUUAGUCAUCCAGAAAGCCUCUAAGAUGGGAACGUGAUGUGAUCUCCACGCCGGAAAUCAUACGCAGCAGAAAAUUUAACUAUAAGCUAAAGAACAGUAUGCCGGGGAGUAUGCGUCGGUUUUCGGGGACACUGGAUAACCCGCCACCUCGCCGGGACGCAACAGACAGACGACACAGCAAUGCGUCCGAUACGAACUUACCAGACACGAGUCAUGUCCGUCAGCUCUCACAAGAAAAUGUUGAAUA